CGAAGGCUUGUUGUGGUGGUUCGGUGCUCCUGGAGAGGGGAGCCCGGGGCAACUGCUGUCAGCAGACUGGAUUGAGUGUAUUCUAUUCCUCACCGAGAGAUGAAUGAGCUUCCAAAAUCUGAACAGCUUGGCGACCCAUCAAGCCGCUGGACAGGGACCGAGUUUGCCAGGCAGGCAGGCCGGCUGCCCUCCCUUCUUCUUCUUCAGGGGCUGUGUUCCUGGCUGGCUGGGCUGGGCGUCCAGGCCCAGCGUCCACCGAGUGCCCUAUGGUGACAUGGGCCUCACUCCUGCUGCUGCCUGGCCUUUCCUCCAGGACAUCUGCUCUGGCACCCAUCUUCGGAAACUCAUCUUCGGGAGAGGAUGCAAUGCCUACACCCCAGAGGAUGCAUGAGGACCCUCAGAGCUCCCGGUAUGACACAGGACCACGUGCCUUCAUGGACCAUGGACAGAACAUUUAUCUGUGACCCUCCUCCUGCAAGCCCGGAAGCCCACGUGACGGGCGUGCAUCUGUGGAGUGGGUCCGCUCCCACUGUGUUUGACAGUUGCGUGGUUGUC
rnacentral:lncRNA from 1 species